rnacentral:rRNA from 1 species
AACGAACGCUGGCGGCAGGCUUAACACAUGCAAGUCGAGCGCGUAGCAAUACGAGCGGCAGACGGGUGAGUAACGCGUGGGAAUCUACCCAACCCUACGGAAUAACGCAUGGAAACGUGUGCUAAUACCGUAUACGCCCUUAGGGGGAAAGAUUUAUCGGGGAUGGAUGAGCCCGCGUUGGAUUAGCUAGUUGGUGGGGUAAAGGCCUACCAAGGCGACGAUCCAUAGCUGGUCUGAGAGGAUGAUCAGCCACAUUGGGACUGAGACACGGCCCAAACUCCUACGGGAGGCAGCAGUGGGGAAUAUUGGACAAUGGGCGCAAGCCUGAUCCAGCCAUGCCGCGUGAGUGAUGAAGGCCCUAGGGUUGUAAAGCUCUUUCACCGGUGAAGAUAAUGACGGUAACCGGAGAAGAAGCCCCGGCUAACUUCGUGCCAGCAGCCGCGGUAAUACGACGGGGGCUAGCGUUGUUCGGAAUUACUGGGCGUAAAGCGCACG